rnacentral:rRNA from 1 species
GAUGAACGCUGGCGGCGUGCUUAACACAUGCAAGUCGAACGGAAAGGCCCUGCUUUUGUGGGGUGCUCGAGUGGCGAACGGGUGAGAAACACGUGAGUAACCUGCCCUUGACUUUGGGAUAACUUCACGGAACUGGGGCUAAUACAGGGUAGGAGCUCCUGCAGCAUGGUGGGGGAUGGAAAGAUCCGGUGGUUGUGGAUGGAAUCGCGGCUUAUCAGCUUGUUGGUGGGGUAGUGGCUUACCAGGGCUUUGACGGGUAGCCGGCCUGAGAGGGUGACCGGCGACAUUAGGCCUGCGGUACGGACCAGACUGCUACGGGAGGCAGCAGUGGGGAGUAUGGCGCAAUGGGCGGGAGCCUGAUGCAGCAACGCCGCGUGCGGGAUGACGGCUUUUGGGUGGAAAACCGCUGUCGACUGUGACGAGGCGGGAGUGACGGUAAUGGGUAAAGAAGCACCGGCUAACUACGUG